UGAGGAAUCUUGCGCAAUGGAGGCAACUCUGACGCAGCCACGCCGCGUGCUGGAAGACGGCCCUAUGGGUUGUAAACAGCUUUUGGUCGGGAAGAACCCGGGUCUUUCGAGGCCCGCUGACGGUACCGAUUGAAUAAGCACCGGCUAACUCCGUGCCAGCAGCCGCGGUAAUACGGAGGGUGCAAGCGUUGUCCGGAAUUAUUGGGUGUAAAGGGUGUGCAGGCGGAAGUCUAAGUCGGAGGUGAAAUCUUGCCGCUUAACGGUAAAAGGGCCUUCGAUACUGGAUUUCUUGAGUUCGGAAGAGGUUGGUGGAAUUCGUGGUGUAGCGGUGAAAUGCAUAGAUAUCACGAAGAACACCAGUGGCGAAGGCGGCCAACUGGUCCGACACUGACGCUGAGACACGAAAGCGUGGGGAGCGAACAGG
rnacentral:rRNA from 1 species